UACGUAGGGAGCAAGCGUUGUUCGGAUUUACUGGGCGUAAAGAGCGUGUAGGCGGCCAGGUAGGUCCGUUGUGAAAACUCGAGGCUCAACCUCGAGACGCCGAUGGAAACCAUCUGGCUAGAGUCCGGAAGAGGAGAGUGGAAUUCCCGGUGUAGCGGUGAAAUGCGCAGAUAUCGGGAAGAACACCCGUGGCUAAGGCGGCUCUCUAGUACGGUACUGACGCUGAGACGCGAAAGCGUGGGGAGCGAACAGG
rnacentral:rRNA from 1 species